GUAAUAUAUUUUAUUGAGCUUUUCUAAGCUCUAAAGAAUGAAAUUAGGAGAUCUGUUGGUGCUCUUAAUUAGGAAUCUGGGGGAGAUGUCUUAAAGGCUGUGUCACCUGGAUAGUCCACGGAAAGGAAAACUCAUGAUCUUUAUGGAAGAGCUAUUUAUAAUAAUGAAAUACUGCUUAGUAUGUGCUAAGCCCAUCAUAAGCCUUAUUUUGCUAAUUCUUUCCAGUAAUCCCACAGAGUAUUGAUGAGGAAACUGAAGUUUGGAGCGAUCACAUCAUUUUCCCAGGAAUUCCUAGAGGACCUGUGCAACAACCUCUUGAGGAUCGAAUCUUCACUCCUGCUGUCUCAGCAGUCUACAGCACGUCACUGAAUGUAUAUCAGUAAUCUCCAGACUCGCAUACAACCUUGUCCUGGUGGAAAGCUCUGACUGUGGGUUUUGAACAUAAGAAAGAGAAUGUGAGUGUCUGUUAAAAGCCAUCACUCCUCAGAAGGUCAGUUGUCAAGUGUUCCUGCUUCUGACCACAGGGACAGCAAUUGGCCUGUAAUAUAUGUAUUCCUUGAAAAAACAGUCAUUCCUAACUGAUCAAGGUUUUGCUAUUGAACUGGGAAAGGACCUUGGAAUCAUAAUACAGUUCUACAUGAUUCUAUUAGCAGUGAAAGAAAUAAAAAUCUUUUUACUA
rnacentral:sRNA from 1 species